GACGAACCGUCCUAACGUUGUUCGGAUUCACUGGGCUUAAAGGGCGCGUAGGCGGACUGGGAAGUCCGGGGUGAAAUCUUUCGGCUCAACCGGAAAAGUGCCUUGGAAACUGCCAGUCUCGAGGGGGGUAGGGGCCUGUGGAACUUCGGGUGGAGCGGUGAAAUGCGCAGAUAUCAGGAAGAACACCAAUGGCGAAGGCAGCUCUCUGGGACGGUACUGACGCUGAGACGCGAAAGCGUGGGGAGCGAACAGG
rnacentral:rRNA from 1 species